AUUGAACGCUGGCGGCAGGCCUAACACAUGCAAGUCGAGCGGAGCGUCGGACGGGUGAGUAAUGUAUGGGGAUCUGCCCGAUAGAGGGGGAUAACUACGCGAAAGCGUAGCUAAUACCGCAUACUAUUGGAACGGCAGAUAUCGGAUUAGCUAGUUGGUGAGGUACAGGACCACCAAGGAGACGAUCCGUAGCUGGUUUGAGAGGACGACAAGCCACACUGGGACUGAGACACGGCCCAGACUCCUACGGGAGGCAGCAGUGGGGAAUGUUGGACAAUGGGGGCAACCCUGAUCCAGCAAUCCCGCGUGUGCGAUGAAGGCCUUCGGGUUGUAAAGCACUUUUGGCAGGAAAGCGGUACCUGCAGAAUAAGCACCGGCUAACUACGUGCCAGCCGCCGCGGUAAUUC
rnacentral:rRNA from 1 species